CCUGUUGACUGCAAAUUAGGCC
rnacentral:siRNA from 1 species